rnacentral:rRNA from 1 species
GACGAACGCUGGCGGCGUGCCUAAUACAUGCAAGUAGAACGCUGAAGGAGGAGCUUGCUCUUCUGGAUGAGUUGCGAACGGGUGAGUAACGCGUAGGUAACCUGCCUGGUAGCGGGGGAUAACUAUUGGAAACGAUAGCUAAUACCGCAUAACAGUAGAUGUUGCAUGACAUUUGCUUAAAAGGUGCAAUUGCAUCACUACCAGAUGGACCUGCGUUGUAUUAGCUAGUUGGUGGGGUAACGGCUCACCAAGGCGACGAUACAUAGCCGACCUGAGAGGGUGAUCGGCCACACUGGGACUGAGACACGGCCCAGACUCCUACGGGAGGCAGCAGUAGGGAAUCUUCGGCAAUGGACGGAAGUCUGACCGAGCAACGCCGCGUGAGGGAAGAAGGUUUUCGGAUCGUAAAGCUCGGUUGUAAGAGAAGAACGAGUGUGAGAGUGGAAAGUUCACACUGUGACGGUAUCUGACCAGAAAGGGACGGCUAACUACGUG